GACGUAGGGGGCGAGCGUUGUCCGGAUUUAUUGGGCGUAAAGCGUGCGUAGGCGGCUGCGCAAGUCGGGUGUGAAACCCCGGGGCUCAACCCCGGAACUGCAUCCGAUACUGCGUGGCUAGAGGUAGGUAGGGGAGAUCGGAAUUCCUGGUGUAGCGGUGAAAUGCGCAGAUAUCAGGAGGAACACCGGUGGCGAAGGCGGAUCUCUGGGCCUGUACUGACGCUGAGGAGCGAAAGCGUGGGGAGCGAACAGG
rnacentral:rRNA from 1 species